GACGAACGCUGGCGGCGGGCGGAACACAUGCAAGUCGAACGGAAAGGCCCUGCUUUUGUGGGGUGCUCGAGUGGCGAACGGGUGAGUAACACGUGAGUAACCUGCCCUUGACUUUGGGAUAACUUCAGGAAACUGGGGCUAAUACCGGAUAGGAGCUCCUGCUGCAUGGUGGGGGUUGGAAAGUUUCGGCGGUUGGGGAUGGACUCGCGGCUUAUCAGCUUGUUGGUGGGGUAGUGGCUUACCAAGGCUUUGACGGGUAGCCGGCCUGAGAGGGUGACCGGCCACAUUGGGACUGAGAUACGGCCCAGACUCCUACGGGAGGCAGCAGUGGGGAAUAUUGCACAAUGGGCGGAAGCCUGAUGCAGCAACGCCGCGUGCGGGAUGACGGCCUUCGGGUUGUAAACCGCUUUCGCCUGUGACGAAGCGUGAGUGACGGUAAUGGGUAAAGAAGCACCGGCUCACUACGUG
rnacentral:rRNA from 1 species